rnacentral:tRNA from 3 species
GCCGUAGUAACUCAGUUGGUAGAGUGCUUAAUUCGUAAUUAAGAAGUCACAGGUUCAAGUCCUGUCUACGGCACCA